CUACAUUGGGACUUUGCACCAGAUAUUGCCCUAGCAGAACAGGUGAGAAGAAAGUUUGGGUCCACCGUACACUUCUCACCUUCCCGGGACAACAAGGAAUUAUUUCUAGUGGUUUCAUUCUCUUCGGCCUCCUUCCCUCUCACGGUUGAUUCGGUUGGUAUUGCUCUCCAAUGUUGCAUUGGUGGUAUUUGUUCUGGUUUCAACUUGACUCAAACCAACUCUCGCUCUUUUCGGUUCUCGGUGGCUAACAACAAAGUGGGGCAUUUUAUUUAUCGUCUCAAGGAUCGAAUCUGGCCAGACUUUGUUUGUCACUUUCAUCUGUUCAAUGGUAGGGUUGCCAAGGCUCCAAUCCAUGAUUUUGGCUGGCAUGCAGACACUGAACUGCCUGACAUCUCGGCCCGCCGUCCCAUGGCGAUCAAGUCCAACUUGGGUUUUCUAUGUUCCAACAUAAAAUCGGUGCCCUCAUCAGACAAGGUUUUAAGAAAAUUUAAGCUUGUUCCCAUUUACCAUAUGGUUUUCUCAAAUGAUAAUACCUAG
rnacentral:rRNA from 1 species